rnacentral:misc_RNA from 1 species
AAGUCGUAACAAGGUUUCCGUAGGUGAACCUGCGGAAGGAUCAUUAAUGAUUGGCCUCGGGGCCUUAUCAAUUAUUAAUCCCAACACCUCUGUGAACCGUUUUCGGCCCUCGGGCUGAUCUUUUUACAAUACAAACAUUGUGUAAUGAACGUCUUGUUAUCUUAACAAAACAAAACUUUCAACAACGGAUCUCUUGGCUCUC